rnacentral:rRNA from 1 species
GAAGCUUGCUUCUCUGAUGUUAGCGGCGGACGGGUGAGUAACACGUGGAUAACCUACCUAUAAGACUGGGAUAACUUCGGGAAACCGGAGCUAAUACCGGAUAAUAUUUUGAACCGCAUGGUUCAAAAGUGAAAGACGGUCUUGCUGUCACUUAUAGAUGGAUCCGCGCUGCAUUAGCUAGUUGGUAAGGUAACGGCUUACCAAGGCAACGAUGCAUAGCCGACCUGAGAGGGUGAUCGGCCACACUGGAACUGAGACACGGUCCAGACUCCUACGGGAGGCAGCAGUAGGGAAUCUUCCGCAAUGGGCGAAAGCCUGACGGAGCAACGCCGCGUGAGUGAUGAAGGUCUUCGGAUCGUAAAACUCUGUUAUUAGGGAAGAACAUAUGUGUAAGUAACUGUGCACAUCUUGACGGUACCUAAUCAGAAAGCCACGGCUAACUACGUGCCAGCAGCCGCGGUAAUACGUAGGUGGCAAGCGUUAUCCGGAAUUAUUGGGCGUAAAGCGCGCGUAGGCGGUUUUUUAAGUCUGAUGUGAAAGCCCACGGCUCAACCGUGGAGGGUCAUUGGAAACUGGAAAACUUGAGUGCAGAAGAGGAAAGUGGAAUUCCAUGUGUAGCGGUGAAAUGCGCAGAGAUAUGGAGGAACACCAGUGGCGAAGGCGACUUUCUGGUCUGUAACUGACGCUGAUGUGCGAAAGCGUGGGGAUCAAACAGGAUUAGAUACCCUGGUAGUCCACGCCGUAAACGAUGAGUACUAGGUGUCGGGGGUUACCCCCCUCGGUGCCGCAGCUAACGCAUUAAGUACUCCGCCUGGGGAGUACGCAC